GCGCCCAUAGCUCAUCCGGAUAGAGCAACAGCCUUCUAAGCUGUAGGUGGCAGGUUCGAGUCCUGCUGGGCGUA
rnacentral:tRNA from 1 species